UUCUUCUCCCUCAGUUUCUCUCUCUUAUGAGCACUCCUUUCUCUCUCCUCCCCAAAAGAGAGCAUAGAACAAGUCCUCCUCGAAUCUCCUUUUACUACUGCUUCGGUCCUGAAAGGAGAAGCCCAUGAAGAGGACCCAUCUGCAACAACUGAUAUUACGUGUGUAGGAGAUAGAUAUUAGAGAUCAGGAGGUAGACGGCGAAGAAGAAGACGAGGAACAAGUGUGUAUAGACCAAAGGAGGGAGGGAGGGAGGGAGAGAGGGAGGGAGAGAUAGAGAGAGAGAGAGAGAGAUUUUUGUAGCUUUCAUGGAUUCUUUUGUUGUUGUGCCAGAAUUUCACGCUUCCUUUAUUGGUAUUUGUUAUUCUCUUACCUUUCGAUCCCCCCUUCUCUCUCUCUCUCUCUCUCUCAUCAUUAACAUCAUGAUCUCUCUCUGUUUUAUUUGUUUCCAUUUUUUAUUUUCCGGGUUUGUUUCUGUUUUUCUUCUUCUUCGUAAUAUUAUUUUUAUUUUUAGUCAUCUGCUUAUUGUCCUCUUUUGUUUCUGGGAGGUGGGUGAGGGUAUUUCUCUCUUUUGCAGGCUUUGACGGCUUUUGGUGGUAAUGUGGGUCUGCUGAGUGGAUUUCCGUCGCUCAACCACUCUCACCAUGGAUUCAUCUUUUCAGGGUAAUUCUGAUUUUUUCUCUCUCUUUUUUUUUUCCUCUUCUCAUUUUUUUUGUUAAUUUUAAUAUUUACUUUUUCUGGGUUUUUAUCUCAUGUACCUUGGAUGUCUGAGAGAUUCUCAAAUGUUCAUCUGGGUAUCUGUUUUUCUCUCUCUCUUCUAUUUGUUAAAGCCAUCAAAGUUGAUUCAUUUCAAGGAUUUGUAAUAAUUAAUAUGUAUGAUGUUCAAAUUUCAUCCCUUUUCUCCUUUUCUUUUCAUUUUUCAGAUUCUGGAUUUUGAGUCUAAUUCUUAGUUAUUUUGUAGGUAUUGAUAGAAAUACACAUUGUUAUAUAUUUGACAAUAACUUUAUGCAUUGCUUCUGCAUCUUUAUGUGGUCUGAGAUAAGUGGGUGAUUCCAGUUGUGUUUAUGCUUUGGUGAUCUGGUUAUAUCUACUGCCUCUUAUGUGUUCUCUUUGGAUUUUAUAUUCCUGCAUCUGGUGGGUUUGUUGUGGAAGACACAAACUUAUGUUGUAUGAUGGCUUUUGAAUUAUAGGACAGAGUAGGUUACCCAAUCGACCCGUUUGGUAGUCUGUGUGAAAUAUGGAGCCAUUGGCAUUUCAAGGUCAAACGAUGAUCUGCUAGAUCCCAUAAUUGUUGCAGACAUGAUGAACAGUAUUUUUCUUAUAUCAAUGAUUGGCUCUAUUUGAUGUAGUUGGAAUGUCUUUGUUAAUGCAAGUCAACCAUGGGUUAUGGAAUUAUUUUUUAAUUUGUUUAUAUCAUCAGGAAAAUUAUUAGAUAAUCUAGACUGAGCUCCAUAAGUAGUUGGUUGUAAAGAUGGCAGCAUUUGGUGAGUUUUUCUUUCUCUUUUUGAUCUGCAUAAAUGAAAAGAUUUUUUUAUCCAAAGAAAAGGAUGAAGCAGACAUCAUGCUACAAACAGAGAGUGAUAGGAAAAGGUAAAUAAGAUACAACCACUGUUGGUUGCUGAGUUUGACCUCUGAUUUACAUAAUUAUCCAUAGAAAUGAAAUUGUUCUAGAAAAUCAACGGCAAUAUAGAUUUGUUAAUUCGACGACUAAGGUCUUUGAUAAUUGGGGGAAUGCUUGUUGGUAAAAUUCUUCUGUUAAGAAUCUGAUUUUCUUUAUGGCUUCACCAUUGGCUUUUAAAGAAUAUGGAUUUGAACUCUGAAGAAUCAUCCUUCCUGAUUGAAAAGAUAUGUACAUUACUUUUUUAUAAUUUGGAUUUAUAAAAGGUUGCAAGACGGAUCUUGGUUGGAAGUGAUUCUAGAGCUUUUUUUCCAUUAGAACAUUCAUUUUUCGAAGUUUUCAAAUUUCUGGAGAGUAUUGCGCUUUAUGCUUCAAAUUCUUCUUGUGAGCCUUUCUAUUAUUGCCUGUUAUUUUUUCUUGUUUGUAGGUCUUGUACUUGAUCCUAUAAAAUGCAGUAAGUUGAGUAUGGAUGAAAAAAGAGAACUUGUCUAUGAAUUAUCAAAACGAUCGCAUGGAGCCUGUGAAAUGCUACAGUCAUGGAGCCGUCAGGAAAUUUUGCAGAUACUGUGUGCGGAAAUGGGAAAAGAAAGGAAGUAUACUGGCUUGACAAAAUUAAAAAUCNNNNNNNNNNNNNNNNNNNNNNNNNNNNNNNNNNNNNNNNNNNNNNNNNNNNNNNNNNNNNNNNNNNNNNNNNNNNNNNNNNNNNNNNNNNNNNNNNNNNNNNNNNNNNNNCUGUAGGCAGUAUGAUGACAACAAGGAUCCCAGCCUUUGGUUAAUUUGUAAUUCAGAGCCUCCAUUUCCACGGUGAUUCGUGUGGCAUGUCAUGCCAUCUCGAGUGUGCUUUAAAACAUGACAAUUCUGGUAUUGGAAAAGAGAAACAACAUGCAGUCCUCGAUGGGAGCUUCUUCUGUGUAUUCUGCGGGAAAGUGAAUGAUUUACUUGGGUAAUUUCUCCUGAAUUCCAUAAUUGUACUUCUAUGUCUCAUAAUCUGGUUUUUCUGUUAUUACAAUUAUAUAUAAUAUAUAUUAGCAUUAUGAUUGAAAGCUGCUUGAAACUUGUUGCUUCCAUGAAGUUGUAGGUCAAUGUAUUUGGAGAUGUUUGAGUGAACUUCAAUCUGCUUGGAUAUUGGUUCUUUGGGUCAAACUGAUAACUAGCAUAAACUCGAUGCUAUGUAAGGCUUUUGAAGCUAAUAAGUCAGUGGACAUAAAAAGUCAUGUCUGUUAUUUGGGUAAUGAGAUUACACAGUAAGGAUGACAAAUGAGGGCAAGGUGAAAGAAUAUGUAUUUCAGAUGAUUAAAUGUUUCUAAAUAAUUUUCACAGUCAUGAUACACUUAAUCAUACCCAACUAUUUUGAUGGUGAUAAAUGCACUUAAAUCAUGCCUGAAUAUUUUGGUGGUGAAAAUACACUUAAUGGCUCUGACUUGGUGAUGCUUAGUUAUACAUUCAGAGGAGUAAUCGAUGAGUGAUAUUUAGAGUGUAUUUAAGAAGACUAUUGUUUGGAUUUUCAAAAAGCAGAGGAUCUAUGAUGGGAAUGGGCAAAAUUUUUUUAUUCUCCCAUUUCUAUUAUUUUGCUUUUUUGGUCAAUGACCUUCCUGACUCCCUCAUGACAUGGUGAAGAUCUUUGACCGUGAGUUCAUGCAGUCUGCAAUGGUAGCUGUAAUGAAGUUGUUGCAGAAUUUUCCUGCAUUUCCCUAUUGCCUUCUGGUUAUCUGUUGUGCUUGUAAUUCUCAAUUGUCAUGCAUACAAAUUUAUUGUUUGAAGUUUCUGGUUGUUCUUGAUUAUUGUGAAGAAAUGCAUCAUUUGGAACUUCGCAUAAUUUACUGGUCAUCCUGUGAGCAAUAUAUUUUCCUUGAUUCCUCUGUUGAUUUAAGUAGAUGAUAAUAUAAACUUUGUGGGAUCUGUUUGUUGAAUGCAUUCAGUUGCUGGAGGAAACAACUAAUGGUGGCAAAGGAUACCAGGCGGGUGGAUAUACUAUGUUACCGUGUCUCUCUGGGCCAAAAGCUUCUCAAUGGUACUGUGAAGUUCCAAAACCUUUCUGAGAUUGUGGAUGAGGCUGUGAAGAAGCUUGAAGAUGAAGUGGGUACAUUAACUGGCUUACCAGUAAAGAUGGGUAGGGGUAUCGUGAACAGGCUUUCUUCAGGACCCGAAGUUCAGAAGCUCUGUUCUUUUGCUGUGGAGUCACUGGACAAAAUGCUUUCUGAUACUUUCUUAGAGUCAUCAUACAGUCCUGUUAUAGAAGGUAAAUUUUAUGGCCUAGUGCUUUUUUUCUUCCAUAGUUUACUGUCUAUUAUAAUCCCAGAAAAAAGAUGAUGACGUGGAUUGAGGACAAUGGGGAGUAAUCUUUUCCUAAUCGGAGGAUCAUAAAGUUCAGUCUUUGUUCUAUGGUUAAUUGAAAUUGAAUUGGUUCUAAUCUAUUAUUUUGUUCACGAGUAGCCAAUUAAACUUGAAUAUAUAAGUAAAUCUGCAGGAGAUUGUUUUUUAAUUGUUGAUGUCAAGUAUUAUCAUUCUGUUGGGCAGCUAAAGGUUUCCUGACAUCUGCAGAUUCAAGUUCAAUUUCUCCAACCAAAGUUAGAUUUGAAGAUGUUCAAGCGACAUCCCUCACUGUGAUUUUGGGCUCUGAGGAGCUGUCACCUGGAAGUGUUGUUGGCUACACCUUGUGGCAUCGUGAGGCUCGUGAGAAGGACUAUCCGAUAAAAUCAACUUGUACCCUCUCUGUACCAAAUAGAAGAUUUGUUGUCACUGGUCUAACUCCGGGUACAGAGUAUCAUUUUAAAGUGAUUUCCUUCAAUGGCAUGAAAGAACUCAAUACGAGUGAAGUUCAGUGCUCAACAGGAACCAGUGAGGGUAAAGUCGUUCCGGAAAGAAGUCAAAGCCCUGCAACAAACUGCAGCAGUCUUUCAAAUCCGUCUUCUGUUGAAGAUGAGUCUAACAGCAUUAUUCCAUAUAGCGACCAAAAUGAUGACCGGGCAGACAAUUAUCUUUCUGUCUGCAAGGAAACUGACAAAACAGUUUCAGCAAAUUUAGCUAAAGAUGUUAACAACUGUAGUAUAUGUGGUGAGGGAGGAACUGCAGCCGAUGCAGCUUCUGUGUUGGACGAAGAACAUGCCAUCCCGAUGGCUGUCUGUAUGCCCAGUCCAGAUGUUCUAAUGCAGGAGAAGAAGCACUCUGCAGAAGGUCAACUGGCUGAGGAGAUGAGCAACGAUAACGGGUCUGAUACCCCAGCUCAGACUGGUUUAGAAUGUGUGCCAUAUAUGGGUAGCUCAGAUGCGGGCUUGCCGAUUACUCCCUGUAAGAUGGAUACCCUAAAGGACAUCCAGGGCAGGAAUGGAAGAUUGAAAUCUAACAACAAGGAUAUGCAAAAUGGGAUUAUAAAAGGUGAUGAACCUCAGGAUGGCAGCACAUCGAAGAAGAGAAGUGGGGAAAGGCAAGACAAGGAAUGCACAGCAACUGAUCUUUCAGAUGGGGAUUUCGAGCAUUACGUUAAGGUCAUAAGAUGGUUAGAAUGUGAAGGACAUAUUGAGAAGAACUUCCGGCAGAAAUUCCUUACAUGGUACAGCCUUAGAGCAACACCACAGGAGGUUAGGGUCGUGAAGGUCUUUGUCGACACAUUCAUAGAAGAUCCAGCAUCCCUUGCAGAGCAGCUCGUAGAUACAUUUUCGGAAUGCAUAUCGAGUAAGAGAUUGUCCUUUGUUCCUCCUGGAUUCUGUAUGAAGCUCUGGCAUUGACAAUGGAUACUGGAUGCAAUGCAUUGUUAGAAGGGAAUAGUUUUUACCUGCAAGCCUGGAUAGGGUUUGUGUAGCAUAAUUCUUUAGACUUGCUCCAAACUUUCACUGUCAUCAUCACCAUUAAAAUUUACAGUAGCUUUUUCAAUUUUUACGAUGAUGUAAUCAUUUAUACUUUUGCAGUAUCUGUAUUGCCAUUCUUAUGAUGUAAGAAAGGCAUUCAUUCGGUUCUACCGUACAGUUUAUUACUUGAUAUUUUUACCAAAUCAACCUAGUUUUCCAACUGGCUGAACUCAAUCCAUAUUAAACAAAGAUAAAAAUACAUCUGGCCAUCUAUAUAUAUAUAUAUGUAUAUAUAUAUUCAUGUACAAGAUAAAAUGACACAGGAAAAGUAUGGAGAUUAGUCAUCGUCAUGGACUGAAUUGAAACGGUUAUAGAAGGUGAUGUUUUUCAUCCUGGUUGCAGAGCAGAACCUCCUUAAAAUGAGUCUGGCAAGCCACGUGUUCUAUUGAUCACCCAUGGUGAUGAAACCAAAGCUUCAUAGUUUUAAAAACCUCUCCACCAUCUUGUCCCCACCUUCUUCAUAACUCCGUUCUUCAUCUUCUUCUUCUUCUUCCCAUCUUCAACAAACCAUACAUAAUCAUCCCACCAUCUCCUUUUGUCUUUUUCUCUAAACCACUUCGCCAUUUUCAAGACCUUCACACCUAUUUUAACCUCACAGCUUACUAAAACCAAUAGCUCCCUGUUUGCUUUCUCUCGCUUUCUAAGAUGUCUGCGAGUACUGUGUUUACUGCUCCAGUUUCUGGAUCGAGCUACGUCAGGUUUCAACCCGUAAGGCAGACUCUGUUUCCGGUUAAAGACUCCAUUUCGUGGAGUAGGAAAACUGUGUCUAAUGGCUCGAGAACUUACUGCAUGAAGGUUAUGUGAUUUAAAAAAUCAAAAUCUCAUCUCUUUUUAUUCCCUGUGAUUACAUGCAGUACUGAUCAUGAUACAUACAUACAUGUUUAUAUAUUGAUCUGACAGACAUGGAAACCGAUUAACAACAAGAAGUUCGAGACCUUCUCCUACCUUCCUCCUCUGUCCGACGAGUCAAUCGCUAAGGAGAUCGACUACAUGAUAGAAAAGGGUUGGAUUCCAUGCCUUGAAUUCAAUGAGGUAAUCUUAAUGUAGUUUGAUCUGUUUGGGGGUUCAAAAUUUGACCCGUUAAUAUUCUUAUGAUUUCAGAAAAGUUUUUGAUUUGGUCUGUUUAGUUCAGGCAGGAAAUGUCCACAGAGAGAACAGCCGGAUUCCCGGAUACUACGACGGGAGAUACUGGACGCUGUGGAAACUGCCGAUGUUUGGAUGCAACGAUUCUGGUCAAGUCCUGAACGAAAUCCAUGAAUGCAAAAAGGCUUGCCCGAAUGCUUAUAUUAGGUGUCUGGCUUUCGACAACCGCCGUCAGUGUCAGUGCAUGGCUUUUAUUAUCCAAAAACCCGCCGUCGCCGGCGAUCGGAGCAGCUGAAGGCGAGUAACUUGGUUUGGCUUUUAUUGUGGGUGGUGUAAACCAGUGGCGCCAAUAGUUUUGGGGUUUUUUAAUUAAAAUAAAAUUUGUCAAAAUAAUAAUAAUAAUAUUUGGUUUGUGUUUGGCAUGUGAUUAGCAGCACAUUGUUUUUGGUUUAAGAGCAAAUGGUUUUUUGGCAAAGCCACUGUUUUUAUUGUGUUUAAUAAAAUAUAUGUAUUUUUAUUAUUACAGUUUUUUAAAAUUAUUUCUCAAGUUUUUUUUUUUUUUUUUAUAAAAAAAAAACAUUAAUUAUUUAACCAAGAAGUUUGCAUAUUCUUGUUUAUAAGUAUAAAUAUGUGUAAAUAAUAUUUUAAAACAAUUAAAGCAAAUUCACAAGAUAUUGAAUUACAAAAACAUAGUUUGCAAAAUCUUUAUAAAAAAAACUAGAACCUGAAAAGGUAAAAUUUUAGAAUUAUAAGACAUCACCUUCAACUUUUUUAUUGCUUUCAUCUAUGUAAUGAUCUUAGAAUUCUUUUAGACCUACUUGCAUAGACAUACUUUUCCUAUAUAUAUAUAUAUAUAUAUAUAUAUAUACACACACAUAAAUAAUCAUAAUAUAAUUGUAAAAUCCAUUAUAUAUAUAUAUUUUUUUUGUCUCUUUUCUAUUUAUGAGUUAAUUGCUUGGAAAUCCCUUGAUAUAAAAAUGUCGAGACAAGAUAGGGAGGACAAAAAAAGUUCUUCAACCUCCAAUAUACCUAAACAAUCCCUACCCAUAUAUACACAUAUACAUAUAUAUAUAUAUAUGUAUAUUCAAGGAGAAAAGAUUCUGGUUUGUAUUGGGAAAAUUAAAAAAAAAAUUAUAUCAUUAUACACCAUGAUGUCUUUUAAGGCAUCAUAAAAGAACCCCCCCUUAAUUAUAUUUAGAAAUUAAUAUUCCUCUGUAAAGCAUUUUCUAUGCAAUCUGAAAUCUAAAAACAUCAUAAAUUCCACCAAUUCUAAAUUCCAGGGAUAAUAAUAAUUUAGUUCGAUAAUUGCAACAAAUAAAUCCUUAACUGUAAUCAUUAAUCAUCACAUCAUAUCUUCCAAGAGUUCCUUAAAGGAAUCCAUGCUCAGAAUAAUACCAAAAGGUAAAAAAUUUUAAUGACAAUUUGCACAUACGGGAAAGUGGAAAACCAGAAGAAAGAUACUAAAUCAAUCCAAGUUUUCUCCUACAUAUUAAAAUUGUGUCAAGAUUAAGUCGGUACAAUAUGAUAUGACAGAGAUUUUCUCUAUUCAACACAAAUAUGUUUCUGCUUGAGGUACUCAAGAUACAACCAGGAGAAGAAUCACAACGUACAGAUGAGAACCGAGAUAUCAGCACAUAGAUUGCCUUCAUGAUAGUUUCGCACUUAAGCUUGAGGUCCCAGCAUCCCCACCACACUAGGAAGCAGCAGCCUGACAGAUUAUUCAAGAUCGCUUAACGGGCAUCAUCAGUUUGCAUGUUUGGCAUAAUGCAUAGGGUAAACU
rnacentral:lncRNA from 1 species